AACCAAGGAACGUCAACUAAGAACUGCCUCGUCCGGUGGCAAACGCGACGUCAGCACAUCCUGUGCA
rnacentral:sRNA from 1 species